AUUGUUAAGUGUGGCUAUGUCAGUAGAUGGCAGAGAGGAGAGGCCAUGGUCUGUGCUCAGUGUUCUGACUUGUGAAUAUCUGAAUGAUUAGUAGCCUAACAUU
ensembl:snoRNA LOC120097621 small nucleolar RNA SNORA17